GAAGACUUGAAAUUCUUCACUGAUCCUGAAAUGGGCACCAACCUCUUCUAUGUGGCCUUCAGUCUUCUGUGGGCAGGCUACACGGAGUCUACAAUCACCCAAAAUCCAAGACACAAGGUCACUGAGACAAGAAGAAAGGUGGCUCUGAGCUGCCAUCAGACUUACAAGCAUGACUACAUGUACUGGUAUCGACAAGACCCUGGUCAUGGGCUGAGACUGAUCCAUUACUCAUAUGAUGUUAACAACACUGAAAAAGGAGAAGUAUCUGAUGGCUACAGUGUCUCUAGAUCAAGCACAGAGGAAUUCCCUCUCACUCUGGAGUCAGCCACCACUUCCCAGACAUCUGUGUACUUCUGUGCCAGCAGUGAUCCACAGUGCUGCACGGCCUCCCCCUCUCUGCAUAUAAAGCAUAACUAG